rnacentral:rRNA from 1 species
ACGCUGGCGGCGUGCCUAAUACAUGCAAGUAGAACGCUGAAGAGAGGAGCUUGCUCUUCUUGAAUGAGUUGCGAACGGGUGAGUAACGCGUAGGUAACCUGCCUUGUAGCGGGGGAUAACUAUUGGAAACGAUAGCUAAUACCGCAUAACAAUGGGUGACACAUGUCAUUUAUUUGAAAGGGGCAAUUGCUCCGCUACAAGAUGGACCUGCGUUGUAUUAGCUAGUAGGUGAGGUAACGGCUCACCUAGGCGACGAUACAUAGCCGACCUGAGAGGGUGAUCGGCCACACUGGGACUGAGACACGGCCCAGACUCCUACGGGAGGCAGCAGUAGGGAAUCUUCGGCAAUGGGGGCAACCCUGACCGAGCAACGCCGCGUGAGUGAAGAAGGUUUUCGGAUCGUAAAGCUCUGUUGUAAGUCAAGAACGAGUGUGAGAGUGGAAAGUUCACACUGUGACGGUAGCUUACCAGAAAGGGACGGCUAACUACGUGCCAGCAGCCGCGGUAAUACGUAGGUCCCGAGCGUUGUCCGGAUUUAUUGGGCGUAAAGCGAGCGCAGGCGGUUUGAUAAGUCUGAAGUUAAAGGCUGUGGCUCAACCAUAGUUCGCUUUGGAAACUGUCAAACUUGAGUGCAGAAGGGGAGAGUGGAAUUCCAUGUGUAGCGGUGAAAUGCGUAGAUAUAUGGAGGAACACCGGUGGCGAAAGCGGCUCUCUGGUCUGUAACUGACGCUGAGGCUCGAAAGCGUGGGGAGCGAACAGGAUUAGAUACCCUGGUAGUCCACGCCGUAAACGAUGAGUGCUAGGUGUUGGAUCCUUUCCGGGAUUCAGUGCCGCAGCUAACGCAUUAAGCACUCCGCCUGGGGAGUACGACCGCAAGGUUGAAACUCAAAGGAAUUGACGGGGGCCCGCA